rnacentral:lncRNA from 13 species
GGAAGCCUACCCAACUCUCUCCUGAUCUGUCCCUCUGCUUCGAUUCCCAGACUUCACACUGCCUCAGCUCCUGCUUUCUCUCUGAAGUGAUUCCAUGUAAGAGAUCCAGCACCUCCCAUCCUGUGUAUCUUUUUUUCUCACUGUCUGAUGGCUCUUGAGCCUGCUAUGCUGCCAUGGGAACCUGCGGGAGACAGUUCUGGCUACAUAACAGCAUAGAGUCAACUUCCCUUCAAGACAGAAGGCUAGAGUGCAAUGGUGCGAUCUUGGCUCACCGCAAUCUCUGCCUCCUGGGUUCAGGCAAUUCUCCUGCCUCAGCCUCCUGAGUAGCUAGGACUACAGACACGCGCCACCAUGCCCAGGUAAAUUGUUUUUGUAUUUUUAGUAGAGACGGGGUUUCGCAAUAUUGAUCUUGAACUUCUUUUUUCAAGUGGUUCUUUCAUCUCAGCCUCCCAAAGUGCUGGAAUUACAGGAGUGAGCUACUGCACCCCGCUUGUAAUAAUUAAGGCUAUCUGGAACACCUUGCCAUUUCAUAAAUCCAUUAUAUUGGUGACAUUAUGCUGAUUAGAUAGGAUGAAAAAUAGGUGGCUAGUUCACUGCAGUGCGGGGGCACUUAGGAAGACACAUGUACUUUACAGUGUGAAAGAUAAUCACUAUGAAGAUAGAGGCAUUUGCCACAUUGGUAGAAUUUAGGGAUCUUGUGAUCAAACACAUUCUAGUAUAUCUACUCCAAAGUCAGAG